ensembl:lncRNA
GAGGAGGGGGCGGCGCGGCGCAGUGCAGCCGUGGCGGCGGCCUGGGGAGUGCGGUCCCCGGGUUCAGGCUGGAGGCGCUGGGUGAAAUGCGUUCUGCUCCGGAGCUACGAUUCUCGAAGCGGUCGGGGGGCGUUCUUAGUUGGAAAAGCGACGUCUCCCAGAUGAGCUCGGAUGGAUAGCGGUUCUGGGUCGCCCUCUUUGGCCGUGGGCUUGUGGCAAACUCAUUUGCUGCACCCUUUCUCCUCACGCUUAAAGAAGGGGCGUUCCUUUUUUCUUUCUUUCUUCUUCUUUUUUUUUUUUUUUUUUUUUUUUUUUUUUAAAUCGGGACUUUUUUGACCAGCGAGCCUGAAAUGGAGAUGCGGUGCAUCUCACAGUUUGUGUCACUUCCAGGAGGCGAUGAAAGGCAGCGCUUUGUCGCUGCUGUGCAGCGAUACAGGCGGUGAGGUGCUGCUCUCACACAGUCGGCGCUGAGGAACGGCCACCUGAGCGCUGCCCUGUCCGAGUGCACAGGCAGAACUGGAGCUCUGUGACUUCGUGUCUCUCUCAGUAAUAAUCGCUUCUCCUUGUGCAGUCUGAGUCACGGUGUGAAGUCCUCCUGAAACCCACAGCGUCCCCCCUCCACCUGGGCACAAAGCUCCCUGUCUGUAGGUAGGCUGGAAGAUUUCCCUCUGGCUUUUAUUUGGGUUUCUUCAAGCAACCAGAAAAGGGGGAAGGAAAACAAAACCAAAGCAUUUGGGGAAAAGAAACCGACACAACCACACAAAAACACGCCCCAGUGCCCACCACUGUGAAGAGAACUGACUGACCGCAGGCCUCCAGGAGCCUCAAGUAUGCGCUGCUAGUUCCCGGCCAACCAUUUGCUUUGAUGGUGCUGUGAGUGAGCAGAUUGACUUGACCCCUGUUUUGUUUGUGCCUGACAGUUGUUUCCAGGAUGAAGCCUCUGCCUGCUGAAAUGCUGCUGCCUCAUGAGAACUGCAGAAAACUCGGCUCCAUUUGCUCUUCCUACCGAGGGUGUCCUGAUGGGACUCUGGGAGAAUAAAAGGACACAUCAGAGGAAAAGCUAGAUCUGCAGUAGCUCUCUUCAAGAGCCCUGCUCAUUGGUUGGUUGGUUGAUUUUCAGAGCUGCAAAGGAUGUUGCUGUAAAACACAUGCAUUAAGGUAAGUGUAAUUGGUCUGGCUGGAGGUGUUGCGCAAGGACAGCAGAGCAGGAUGGUGAGGCAAGGGGCAGGAGCUGCGUGUGGGAAGACAUGCUGUUGCUGCUGCUGCACUGAAGAAGAAUCUGCUAUAAGGAGACAUGCUGGUAUCACCCUGCUUGUACCAUAACUCGCCAUGCUGCUGGAGGGUCUGGCCACAGGACUUGUCCCAGGUAGUUUACCUUCUACCAAGUGAGAGCACAAAAAUUAGUAUAUUCAUUCUUGGUUUUGGUUCACAAGAUAAUCUACUAAGAGUACAAGCAGGCUGUUUUAAGGGCUCUGUGACUGGGAACGAGGAUGAUGCUUGCCUUUCUCCCCACAUAAAAUCCCAUCACUGUGAUUUAGUGGUGUGGUAAAUGCACUGUGACCGCACAGAUUUUGGCGUUGGUGUGCAUGAACACUGAAGUCACGAGGAUUCCAUGCUGCCAACAUUUGGACAGCCCAACUGUGGGCCAUGUUCUAGCCCCAUUGCUGCAUAUGUGUGCCACUCAUGCAGGACCUCUUGCUGUGUGCAGGUUUUCUGGCUUUUCCAGCAACUGCAUCUCCUGGGCUGGCUCAUACCCCGACAGAGCCACCUCCCAAAUGCAGCAGUUUGUGAUGAAGGCUGCCCUGGGAUUCUGCUUUCAUUUUCCCAGGAGAGAUGGGGAAAUACAUCCUGUCCAAGACAUAUGUGAACAGCUACUUCUGCUGGAAUGCUUUCAACUUCUUUAAAAAAGACGCAUUAGGUCCUCAUGCACUGUCCUGAGCUGUAGCAACACGCCCAACCUAGAGGUCUAGGUAAAACAGGCAAAAGACCAUCAGGGUGGAAAAAAGGAUGUAGUUUCCAAAGCCCUGACAACAAUUUCUUUUUUCCUGAAGUAAAAAGUCUCCAGCAAAAGAGUAGCUGGAAAGAAAGAAAUUCAUUCUUUUUCUCCUUAUGCAACAUUUUAAUAUUUUUCCAUGUGUUUCUGAUUAUCUCAAGGAGAUGUAUAGUUUUACCACACUCCAGAGAAAGAAAACCCUUGGUGAGCUAGAAAUCAGCGAGGUCUCAAGGAUUUUAAUAAUACUCAGGGAUGUGUGUGAAGGCCAGUGAGUGAAGGCCAGCGAUGCUGAAGGGAAGGUGAAGCUAACGCAGAGCGAGACAUGUACAGGUGACAGAACUGCCAUUUCCUGAGAGCAGGACUGCGCUCCAGGUUCUGUUAAAAGGCAGGAUUAAUCCAGUGUUUGGCUCCAGUGUGGCUCCUGCCCUGGCUCAGCCACACAUGUAGAAUCCCUUCACUGCUGGCACAGCGCUUUAAGUAGGAGAGAUUUUUGCUGACUCUAACUGUUUUGCUUUGGGCAAAGUACAGGAUCUGCUCAGGCACUCAUCCUUCUCCCCAGAUCUCCCCAACUCAAGAAGGAGUCACAGAAUUCAUCAGGAGAGCAUCACCGAGCAGCCAGCCCUCACACAACACAAAGGACACAGAUUGUAGCAACAUGCAAGCGCUCUCUUUCCCCUUCACAUGUUGUCCUCAGUCCCAUAGGAGACAGAUCAGGUCCACAGAGCUGCAUAUCAGGGUGUCCUGGGUGAUGUGCUGCACCAACAAUAGGAGCUAAGUACCUAAGUGCUUGAUUUAGAGAGGCAGUUUGGACACAACGCUGAUUUUUCCAAGUGUUUUUGGGCCAAAUCUGAAGAAAGCCCAUUAACUUCAUUGGCUUUGGAUGAUGUCCCAUAUACACAAAACUUGAAGAAUGAUGCUUUAAAAGAAAUACCAGAGUUAAAUCGGGACAUUUUAACAAUUCUCUUUGUAUUUGAAUUUAGUGGCUGUAUGCUGACAAUGUAAUUAGCAAGAUGCUAUGUUAAUUAAUGCCAGAUGACAUUGGUGGGAUGGCAAAACAUCCAGUUUUCUGAAGAAUAGCUCACAGUUGAACUGUUCCUCUCUCCCCACCCCAUUUUUAGCAGAGGAACAUACUCAGAAAGUCAGAGACAGCUGAAUUAAACCAAAAGUCAAACCAUUUACAAAUAUUUAAAAUGUGGCCUAUCUCAGCACAUCGCUUGCAAGCCAAAUCUAAUCUUAUUGCAGAAAAAUAUAUUAACCUUCUCUCCUUAGACCCCGCAUACAGAAAAGGAGAAUUUGAAGAGCAUUGCGCAGUGGACAAAUCAGCUGUCACUGAAGCUGAAGGAGCAGAAUUGAGACCUGUCCUUCACAUAGCAGAGCAUUUGAACGGUAAUUUUCAGUUUAAGGAUUGUGGAUUUCUUGGGAUCAACCAGCUAAUUAGAAAAGAAUUUGCAGUAACAUGGAAAAAUACAUUUGCAUACAAUCUGAGUUCCUACAUGUUAAGCUUCAAUCUAUACGUGUAAAAAUUGUAAAUAAAUUUGAUAAGGCACAGAAA